AUUGCUAGCUCUUGGUAAACGAUGUCGUUUUACCAACGCGGUCUGUGGUAAACGAUGUCGUUUUAUGACAAUCUCUUGGGUUAUUUCGUAUAUUUUCUUUUAUUUUUUUUUUCCGCUUUCAAAUCACAGUGAGUGUAAUUACUUUCGCCCUUUUCUACUUGCAAACUCAAUUUGAAAGCCAUCUUUUCCGAUCUAUCGAAACGAAGGGAAUCGUAGCGGCGGAGGAAGGAGAAAUGGGUGUACGUGCAAUAUCUCAAGAGGCGUUCGACGAUCUAGUGAGGGAAAAUGUUGAAGAUCUUGGAAUGGAACCCUCCGAAGCUCUCGAAGACGCUCUCCACACUCUCAAACUCCAAGGCGUCGAUCUCUCCGGGAUCAUUACAUGUGUUCCAGGAGAAAGUAGCAUUAAGGACAAUCCCGUGAUUGCUUGUUUAGAUAGACUAAAAGAAUUCGACAGUGUUUCUAUAGACGGACCUCUUCGAGAAGAGGAUUUGGAUGAGAUUUCGAGUUUGUUCGUCAAGCUCAAGGAGCUUUGUUGCAGCCAACAAGAUUCAGGGAACGCUGCAAUCGCGACGAAACAUGGUGCUGUGGACUUAACAUGCUCUCUUUGUUCCAAAAUCAAGAUAGCUCCUGGAAGUAAUCGUAAUCGUAUUGUUGUUCCCUGUUUGAAAGCUUUGGCUGUGUUGAUUCAUGACAUUCAGAGCACUGAGGCAUUCAGGAAGUGUACUGGACCAAGUAUUGUUGUUGGCCUAUUGAGUAAUUCGAUCUCCGAUUCUGAUUCGUUGGAUGCUGGUUUCGCUGUUGUUGCUGCUGCAUCAACUGGUAAUGAAGUUGUGAAACAAUCAUUCAUGGAAUUAAAAAUUGAUGAACUUAUUCUACAAGUGCUGAACAGAGAGAGUAAAACUACCGUUCGAGCUCUGUACGAUGCUAUUUGUGUUCUUUUGACUCCAGAUGACAACCGUGUUGUUGCUUCCCAAGUUUAUGGUUAUGCACGAACUUUCGCCAAAUUAGGGAUUGCAACAGCCCUUACCGAAGCAUUACAGGCAGGGAUUGGCUCUGAUAGUUUGGUGUCAGCAAGUAUUGCGUUAAAAUCAAUUGCUGUAAAUGAUGAAAUAUGUAAAUCUAUUGCUGAAAUUGGUGGAAUAGAUACACUUCUUCGGUGUAUUGAUGAUAGCGGUGAACAAGGCAACAACACUGCUGCAAAGACAUGUUGUUCUCUGUUGUCUAAGUUGGCAGGAAGUGACUCUAACAAGAGUACCAUAGUUGAGAAGCGGGGUCUCGAUAAGCUAAUCAAACUUGCACAACGAUUCUCCGAUGAUCCUCUAGUCAUACAAGAGGUCAUGUUGAUAAUCUCUAUAAUCUGUUUGAGAUCACCAGACCACGCAGCCAAGGCUAUAGAAGCCGGAGCUGGUGAUUUAGCGGUCCAAGCUAUGAAGAGGUUCCCAGUAGCGGCCCAAAUGCAGAGAAACGCUUGCAACAUGAUACGGAACAUGGCUGUAAGAAAUGCAGAGAACAGAAGUAUUCUGCUUGCCAAUGGAAUUGAGAAGCUGAUAAGGACUGCUAAGGCCAAUAAUGAGUUAUGCAGAGCCGCUGCAACUGAUGCACUGAGAGACCUUGGCCUUGAUAACUACAAUAAUUAAAGGCCAAUCUAUCUCCCUUGGUAUAUUCAUGAAAACUACAAUUCUGCGAGGUUUAAAACAAGGACAAACUGUUUGACUGAAGGGAAAAUAAAAACAAAUUGAAAAUGUAAACCCACCCACGGAAUGAUCUCUAGAAGAGAUGAUGAUGAUGGAUGGGGCUAUGAUGAAUGCAACUCUAUCGGUUUCUACUUUUAGGUGGAGAUCUGACAGAAUAGCCAACAACAUCUCGACAUUUGUGCUUACUUCAAGCUGUGGUUUAAACAGAGCAGAGAAAGCUGUUCUCUUUUUAUAUAUGGUGAGAGGAAACGAGAGCUGAUAGAGAGAGAGAGA